ensembl:snRNA U6 U6 spliceosomal RNA
GUGCUCGCUGCUGCAGCACAUACACUGAAAUUGGAACGAUACAGAGAUUAGCAUGGCCCCUGUGCAAGGAUGGCAAGCAAAUUUGUGAAGCGUGCCAUUAAAAA